AAAUGACCCCGUAACUUAGGAAGAAGGGGGACCUUAAAUGCCUAGGGUUAUUUAAGGUGGCACGAAAUCGGGGGUAGCAACUGUUUACCAAAAACACAAGACUUUGCUAAGUUGUAAAACGCUGUAUAAGGUCUGACACCUGCCCGGUGCUGCAAACUUAAAGGGAAAGGUGAAGUAUAUGAUAGUUUUCUAUCGUGUAUGGAGCUUCGAACUGAUUGUUCAGUAAACGGCGGUCGUAACUCUAACGAUCCUAAGGUAGCGAAAUUCCUUGUCGGGUAAUUUCCGACCCGCACGAAUGGCGUAACGACUCCUACACUGUCUCAACGAGGGACUCGGCGAAAUUGUAGUUGUGGUGAAGAUGCCACAUUCCUGCAGCAAGACGGAAAGACCCCGUGAACCUUUACUACAGCCUAAUACUGGCCUUAGAUACGUCAUGUGUAGCAUAGGUGGGAGACGUUGAACCGGGGACGCCAGUCCUCGGGGAGUCACCGGUGAAAUACCACUCUUGGCGUGUUUGAUGUCUAACCUGUGGCCGUUAACCGGCAUGGGGACAGUGUUUGGUGGGUAGUUUGACUGGGGCGGUCUCCUCCCAAAGCGUAACGGAGGAGCACAAAGGUGGGCUAAGCAUGGUCGGACAUCAUGCGGUUAGUGUAAUGGCACAAGCCCGCUUAACUGCGAGACAGACACGUCGAGCAGGUACGAAAGUAGGUCAUAGUGAUCCGGUGGUUCUGUAUGG
rnacentral:rRNA from 1 species